rnacentral:lncRNA from 10 species
GUAUAAAAUAAAAUUUAUGAAUGUAUUCAAUAUGAAUAUUUUCAAUUCAUAAAAUAAAAUUUAUGAAUGUUUUGACAUUGCUCUGACAAUGGAAUAUAUCUCGUGUGUGUGUGUGUGUGCAUGUGUGUGUGUGUGUGAGAGAGAGAGAGAGAGUUAAGUCUCAGCUGUCUCCCGGGCUGGAGUGCAGUGGCAAGGUCACAGCUCACUGCAGCCUUGAACUCUUGGGCUCAGACGAUCCUCCCACCUCAGCCUCCUGAGUAGCUGGGACUGAGGUGCAAUCCACCACGCCCAGCUAAUUUUUUGUAGAGACA